CGCGAAAACUUUACAAUGCGGGAAACCGUGAUAAGGGAAUCUCGAGUGCCAGCAUAUAAUGUUUGCUGUCCAGAUGCCUAAAAAGCAUCUGUUAGCAAGGGCCGGGCAAGACCGGUGCCAGCCGCCGCGGUAACACCGGCGGCCCGAGUGGUUACCGCUUUUAUUGGGUCUAAAGGGUCUGUAGCCGGCCAAGUAAGUCCCUUGGGAAAUCUGGCAGCUUAACUGUCAGGCUGCUAGGGGGUACUGCUAGGCUUGGGACCGGGAGAGGUGAGAGGUACCUUGGGGGUAGGGGUGAAAUCUUGUGAUCCUCGGGGGACCACCAGUGGCGAAGGCGUCUCACCAGAACGGGUCCGACGGUAAGGGACGAAAGCUAGGGGCACGAACCG
rnacentral:rRNA from 1 species